rnacentral:rRNA from 1 species
CCUACGGGCGGCAGCAGUGGGGAAUAUUGCACAAUGGGGGAAACCCUGAUGCAGCGACGCCGCGUGAGUGAAGAAGUAUUUCGGUAUGUAAAGCUCUAUCAGCAGGGAAGAAAAUGACGGUACCUGACUAAGAAGCCCCGGCUAACUCCGUGCCAGCAGCCGCGGUAAUACGGAGGGUGCGAGCGUUAAUCGGAAUUACUGGGCGUAAAGCGCGCGUAGGCGGUAUGGCAAGUCAAGGGUGAAAUCCUAGGGCUGAACGUUGGAACUGCCUUUGAAACUGGCAAACUGGAGUGUGUGAGAGGAUAGUGGAAUUCCAGGUGUAGGGGUAAAAUCCGUAGAUAUCUAGAGGAACAUCCGUGGCGAAGGCGACUAUCUGGCACAUAACUGACGCUGAGGAGCGAAAGCGUGGGGAGCAAACAGGAUUAGAUACCCGAGUAGUC